AGAGUUUGAUCCUGGCUCAGGAUGAACGCUAGCUACAGGCUUAACACAUGCAAGUCGAGGGGCAGCAUGUUGGUUGCUUGCAACCAAUGAUGGCGACCGGCGCACGGGUGAGUAACGCGUAUCCAACCUUCCCCCUAGUAGGGGAUAGCCCGGCGAAAGUCGGAUUAAUACCCUAUGUUGUUCAUUGAAGGCAUCUGAUUUGAACCAAAGGUUUUCCGCUAAGGGAUGGGGAUGCGUCUGAUUAGGUUGUUGGCGGGGUAACGGCCCACCAAGCCAUCGAUCAGUAGGGGUUCUGAGAGGAAGGUCCCCCACAUUGGAACUGAGACACGGUCCAAACUCCUACGGGAGGCAGCAGUGAGGAAUAUUGGUCAAUGGACGGAAGUCUGAACCAGCCAAGUAGCGUGCAAGGAUGACGGCCCUAUGGGUUGUAAACUGCCUUUGUCAGGGAAUAAAGUGAGGCACGUGUGCCUUUUUGUAUGUACCUGAAGAAUAAGGACCGGCUAAUUCCGUGCCAGCCGCAGC
rnacentral:rRNA from 1 species